rnacentral:lncRNA from 1 species
AGUCUGGCUGGAGCUGGACCGGCUGGUGGCGCCAGGCAGUGCCAAGCACCCCUGGCAGCCCUGCAGAGGGUUCUCAAAUCCAGAUUUCAUUCUGCAGUCCCGGCAGUGUUUUGACGACUGCCUCACUAAAGGAAGCUAAAAGCUGUGCUGAUGCCUCCCAGACGAGCCUCGUUGGAAGCACAGAACCUUCACGGCUCGGAGCCGCUGACACCGUGACAAAGGGAGCCCUGCUCAGGAGAAAGAGCAAAUGAGAGGAAGUUGCACUUUUUCAGGUGUCAGGCUGGAGGAAGCCACUUGAAGAUGAGUCUACCUCUGCCUUAGGAUUGCCUGAUGGCCUGUGCCAUUCCAUGUUAUGUCUACUGAUUUGCUCCCUGUAUUCAACGAUUUUUUUUUUUUUUUUUUUUUACUUAAUUCUCUCUUACUGACCCUGAGAGUGACCAUAUUUUUAACCAAUUUGGUCUUCAGCCUCAAAACUUAGCUCUUUCCUUUUGUGGUCCCUGAAUCCUACCACGUGUCAUGGUGGCUGUGAAGAUGUUUGCCAAGCCUGCUGAGAAGGCUCAUCUGUGGCAUCCAAAAGCAGAAAUUUCAACUCUGGACCCCUGUGACCUGCCUUUGGAAUUAUGGAUACCCAGCACUGUUUUGAAAUAUCAGUGGACAUCCAGUUUUUAAAAGCCCUCAGAGCUUUGGGAGACACCCCUUUAUCUCUCUGGCAUGUCAGAGAACCGAUUCAACCCUUCUCAUCUCCUCCUCCUUCCCUCUCUUGGGCCAUCAGGAUGCAGCAGCAACUCACUGUGCAUGUUUUUACAGCUCUUCUCCAGUAAUGCUGCCAUUUCCACUGCAGACCACAGGAUAAACGGACUGCUUCACAGUGGCCCAGGAUACCCUUUUAAGUAGGAGAGGGAGAAGAAAGUACUGUUUUGAUCUAAAAUUAAGCAAACGUUCUUCAAUAAACCCACCAUGAGACUUGACCACUAAUGGUGACCAGCAGUGGCUUUGUCAUGGCCCUGCCCACUGGGGGCAGGCACAUGCCAGGGCCAGGGUAGGCUGCCAGCUGGAAUAAAAACCUGACCAUUAGACCGAGCGUGGUGGCUCACGCCUGUAAUCCCAACACUUUGGGAGGCCGAGGCAGGCGGAUCACCUGAGGUCAGGAGUUUGAGACCAGCCUGGCCACCAUGAGCCAGAUCAAGGAAAGAGACAGGAAAGCAGAUGAUUGUACCUGCCUUCCCUAAGUGCACUCGGGAAAGGAAGGAUCAUCUCAAAAAGGGUUAAGGAAUGAGAGCAUGGAAAUCGCUUACACACGCGGUCGCGGCUUGGACUUGGCUAGUGAGGCCGGCCUGCCCGCUCUGCUUCCAUUCACUCAGACACAGCUUGGGCUUUUCCUCCAAGUGCUGGUAGCAGUCAUUUAUGAGGGAGGAAAGGAGCAGAAUAAACACACUUCUCAGC